rnacentral:rRNA from 1 species
UACGUAGGGUGCAAGCGUUAAUCGGAAUUACUGGGCGUAAAGCGUGCGCAGGCGGUUUUGUAAGUCUGUCGUGAAAUCCCCGGGCUCAACCUGGGAAUUGCGAUGGAGACUGCAAGGCUAGAAUCUGGCAGAGGGGGGUAGAAUUCCACGUGUAGCAGUGAAAUGCGUAGAGAUGUGGAGGAACACCGAUGGCGAAGGCAGCCCCCUGGGUCAAGAUUGACGCUCAUGCACGAAAGCGUGGGGAGCAAACAGGAUUAGAUACCCUGGUAGUCCACGCCCUAAACGAUGUCUACUAGUUGUCGGGUUUUAAUUAACUUGGUAACGCAGCUAACGCGUGAAGUAGACCGCCUGGGGAGUACGGUCGCAAGAUUAAA